GUCUACAGCCAUACCACCCUGAAUGUGCCUGAUCCUGGCUGAUCUCAGAAGCUAAGCAGGGUUGGGCCUGGUUAGUACUUGGAUGGGAGAAAGAAAGGUGAAGGGAGGAA
rnacentral:rRNA from 1 species